UCACAUGUGCCGGUCCCAAAGGAAUUCCUUAACUCUCCCUUCCUGGAACCGAAAUGCUUCCAAAGACAGAGAGCUCCUAUAUAUAUUUCUCUGUUUUCCCCAGAGGACCGUGCAUGAAAGGCGCCUUUCCUGGCGCGUGUGUCUCUGACCCUGUGGAUCUUCUGGACAAUUCCCGGAAUUUCUUGCAGGGCAGCACUUCCCCUUAAGUCGUCUCUUUCUCGUUUGGAUAGUCAGUAUUUGUAUAGUCACUAUUCUCUUUUGGUUAGCCGUCUAAUUUUAUACUGCUAGUCAAGCUCUACUCCCUUCCCCCUAGAGUUUGAAUUUAUUUUUCUUCAAACGCUACACAAACCCAAAUAAACUCAACCAAAGCGGACUUUACCUACCUUCCUACCUACCCACCAAGAAAAUAUCCCACAAAGGAGAGAACGGAGAAGCUUGCAAUACAGGAAGAAAAAACAAGAAUUACAGAAUGGAAGGGAUGUGUGCGCUAAAAAUGCAGGUACUCAAAGGAAAUCGGGCUGAUUUGUACUGGACACCGAAUUUGAGGAAUACAGGAUCUCAACCUUUCUUUGACUGGAUUACUUUUUUAUUCCAUUUUGGUGUGGACGCGUCUGAAACUGAUAGUGCUGCUGCUACCUACCAUAAUGUGUUUGUUGCAAGAUCCACAAGAACGUGGAUGCCAAGAAUCCACAAAAAAAACAGAUGCAACCGUUGAUGAGGCCAUAAACAGAAACAGCAAGCGGUUCCCACGUUUCCUCUGCUUUAACUACUGAUGAUGAAAUGCAAGUCAUAAGGCAAAUAGAAGGGCUGUACUGAUACAGACAAAAUGUUAUUAUUAUGGGAAGGGAUAAGUCCCUUGUAAAACCUUGAAAUUUUUUUCUUCUUUGAGAAAAAUCUAUCACCUAUUUUCACCCUGCUCUUGAUAUAGCAAAUAUUGUAAGUUGUCUUAUGGAGGAUGACUCAGGGAGGACGGUGAAUGGGUUGACUCAAUCCAGAAAAGGAAGAGGAAAAUAAAAAGACAUAACGACCAAUCUGUGAAAACGCUCAGUGGCUUAAAAGACACUAUUAAGAGAGGAGACUAUUUGAUUCUUUAUUUAACUCCUUUCCAAGGAAAUGUUUUUGAAAAUCCAUACGGUUUACAUAUUAAAGAGGGUCAAUCUGAUAAUAGGUGAUUUUUUUGAAAAAAUGAAAGGAAAAUUUAAAAAUAAAAGGGACAGAAUAAUACUUUGUAUACUUCCACUUCUAGUAAUAAAAAAAUGAGUGAUUUGGAACAAACAUGUAGCAGAGGAAAGGUGAGCAAACUUUUUAAAUGUCAAAAGACAUCAAAAGACAAGAUAAUGGAGAAAUGGUGGGCCAAAAUUCAGAAACAGUUGGGGGAGUCAUGCAUUUGGGGCUAAUUUUCUCCUGGGGAUGAUGGUCUAGUCUAGGAUCUGAAAAGCCUAGAAUCUCUGCAGCACUUUUGACACCUAUAUGAAGCUGGCGGAAAGAAAGAUUCUAGCAAAAAUUAAAAUGCACAUCUUUUCAAGAGCACAUAAGAUUUGUACAAAUGAGUAAAAUGAUAUGGGAUUUCAAAAUACUGAAAUACUAUGUUUUCGAAUACAGUGAAAUUUGGCUAGAAAUCAAUAAAAAUACAACUAAAUGAUUCAUGUGUGCAUUUAAUAAAUAUUGUCUCAUCUCCAAA
rnacentral:lncRNA from 1 species